rnacentral:rRNA from 1 species
UACGUAGGGUGCGAGCGUUGUCCGGAAUUAUUGGGCGUAAAGAGCUCGUAGGCGGUGUGUCGCGUCGGCCGUGAAAACCUGGGGCUCAACUCUGGGCGUGCGGUCGAUACGGGCAUCACUUGAGUUCGGCAGGGGAGACUGGAAUUCCUGGUGUAGCGGUGAAAUGCGCAGAUAUCAGGAGGAACACCGGUGGCGAAGGCGGGUCUCUGGGCCGAUACUGACGCUGAGGCGCGAAAGCGUGGGGAGCAAACAGG